rnacentral:rRNA from 1 species
ACCUUCGGGCCUCUUGCCAUCGGAUGUGCCCAGAUGGGAUUAGCUAGUAGGUGGGGUAAAGGCUCACCUAGGCGACGAUCCCUAGCUGGUCUGAGAGGAUGACCAGCCACACUGGAACUGAGACACGGUCCAGACUCCUACGGGAGGCAGCAGUGGGGAAUAUUGCACAAUGGGCGCAAGCCUGAUGCAGCCAUGCCGCGUGUAUGAAGAAGGCCUUCGGGUUGUAAAGUACUUUCAGCGGGGAGGAAGGGAGUAAAGUUAAUACCUUUGCUCAUUGACGUUACCCGCAGAAGAAGCACCGGCUAACUCCGUGCCAGCAGCCGCGGUAAUACGGAGGGUGCAAGCGUUAAUCGGAAUUACUGGGCGUAAAGCGCACGCAGGCGGUUU